ACAGAUUCUACCACCAAAUCUCGUGUAAUACGAUAUUUAUCCAUUCUCGACAGUUAAAUUUUAAAUAUUUAAAACGCUCGGACAAGCCUCGCGUUUUAAAUUUGAAAAUUUAACUGUCUCGCGUGGAUAAAUAUCGUAUUACACUCGAUGCAGUGGUAGAAUCUUAGAUUGU
rnacentral:sRNA from 1 species